AUUGAACGCUGGCGGCAUGCCUUACACAUGCAAGUCGAACGGCAGCACGGGUGCUUGCACCUGGUGGCGAGUGGCGAACGGGUGAGUAAUACAUCGGAACAUGUCCUGUAGUGGGGGAUAGCCCGGCGAAAGCCGGAUUAAUACCGCAUACGAUCUACGGAUGAAAGCGGGGGACCUUCGGCCCCCGCGCUAUAGGGUUGGCCGAUGGCUGAUUAGCUAGUUGGUGGGGUAAAGGCCUACCAAGGCGACGAUCAGUAGCUGGUCUGAGAGGACGAGCAGCCACACUGGAACUGAGACACGGCCCAGACUCCUACGGGAGGCAGCAGUGGGGAAUUUUGGACAAUGGGCGAAAGCCUGAUCCAGCAAUGCCGCGUGUGUGAAGAAGGCCUUCGGGUUGUAAAGCACUUUUGUCCGGAAAGAAAUCCUUGGCUCUAAUACAGUCGGGGGAUGACGGUACCGGAAGAAUAAGCACCGGCUAACUACGUG
rnacentral:rRNA from 1 species